rnacentral:rRNA from 1 species
AUUGAACGCUGGCGGCAGGCCUAACACAUGCAAGUCGAGCGAGCGGCGGACGGGGGAGUAAUGUAUGGGGACUGCCCGAUAGAGGGGGAUAACUACUGGAAACGGUAGCUAAUACCGCAUACUAUCGGAUAACCCAUAUGGGAUUAGCUAGUAGGUGAGGUAAUGGCACACCUAGGCGCCGAUCCCUAGCGGGUCUGAGAGGAUGAUCAGCCAAACGGGGACUGAGACAGGUCCCAGACUCCUAGGGGGGCAGAAGGGGGGAAUAUUGCACAAUGGGCGCAAGCCUGAUGCAGCCAUGCCGCGUGUAUGAAGAGGGCCCUAGGGUUGAAAAGUACUUUCAGUCGGGAGGCGUUCCCGACAGAAGAAGCACCGGCUAACUCCGUGCCAGCAGCCGCGUAAUUC